GACGAACGCUGGCGGCGUGCUUAACACAUGCAAGUCGAACGGAAAGGCCCUGCUUUUGUGGGGUGCUCGAGUGGCGAACGGGUGAGUAACACGUGAGUAACCUGCCCUUGACUUUGGGAUAACUUCAGGAAACUGGGGCUAAUACCGGAUAGGAGCUCCUGCUGCAUGGUGGGGGUUGGAAAGUUUCGGCGGUUGGGGAUGGACUCGCGGCUUAUCAGCUUGUUGGUGGGGUAGUGGCUGACCAAGGCUUUGACGGGUAGCCGGCCUGAGAGGGUGACCGGCCACAUUGGGACUGAGAUACGGCCCAGACGCCUACGGGAGGCAGCAGUGGGGAAUAUUGCACAAUGGGCGGAAGCCUGAUGCAGCAACGCCGCGUGCGGGAUGACGGCCUUCGGGUUGUAAACCGCUUUCGCCUGUGACGAAGCGUGAGUGGCGGUAAUGGGUAAAGAAGCACCGGCUAACUACGUG
rnacentral:rRNA from 1 species